AAAGGAAAUGCAGACUUGGGUAAGAAACGGUUGCCAAAUAAUUUUAACAUCGGAUUUAGGGAGGCAAUGGAGGUCUGCUGAUAUAGACAGUCAUGACCUUUUGUGAUUCUUCAUUUCUGUCUUGUAUUCUCCUUGUAAUAAUAUGUAUAGAAUUGUAACAGAUUCAAGUAUCAUUUAAUACUCAGACAGCCAUGACCUUUUGUGAUUCUUCAUUUCUGUCUUGUAUUCUCCUUGUAAUAAUAUGUAUAGAAUUGUAACAGAUUCAAGUAUCAUUUAAUACUCCUCAAGAUAAAGUAUUAAAUACUAUAGGAUAUAAUAUUUUUCAAAGGAAGCAAGAUAAUGGUUGUUACAGUUUCUCCUUUGCCCUUUUUUAUUUGUUGUUGUAUUGAAUAUCUUCACAAGACUGUACUUUAACCUUCUUUAUACUCCAUUAUCUUAUUCUCCAUAUUUGUGGAGCCUCUUU
rnacentral:lncRNA from 1 species